rnacentral:tRNA from 1 species
UCCCUAGUGGUCCAGUGGUUAGGACUCAGAGCUUUCACUGCUGAGGACCUGGGACCAAUACCUGGUUGGGGAA